rnacentral:rRNA from 1 species
AGUGAACGCUGGCGGUAGGCCUAACACAUGCAAGUCGAACGGCAGCACAGUAAGAGCUUGCUCUUACGGGUGGCGAGUGGCGGACGGGUGAGGAAUACAUCGGAAUCUACUUUUUCGUGGGGGAUAACGUAGGGAAACUUACGCUAAUACCGCAUCCGACCUACGGGUGAAAGCAGGGGAUCUUCGGACCCUGCGCGAUUGAAUGAGCCGCUGUCGGAUUAGCUAGUUGGCGGGGUAAAGGCCCACCAAGGCGACGAUCCGUAGCUGGUCUGAGAGGAUGAUCAGCGACACUGGAACUGAGACACGGUCCAGACUCCUACGGGAGGCAGCAGUGGGGAAUAUUGGACAAUGGGCGGAAGCCUGAUCCAGCCAUACCGCGUGGGUGAAGAAGGCCUUCGGGUUGUAAAGCCCUUUUGUUGGGAAAGAAAAGCAGCAGGUUAAUACCCCGCUGUUCUGACGGUACCCAAAGAAUAAGCACCGGCUAACUUCGUG